rnacentral:rRNA from 1 species
AUUGAACGCUGGCGGCAGGCCUAACACAUGCAAGUCGAGCGGCAGCGGGAAAGUAGCUUGCUACUUUUGCCGGCGAGCGGCGGACGGGUGAGUAAUGCCUGGGGAUCUGCCCAGUCGAGGGGGAUAACUACUGGAAACGGUAGCUAAUACCGCAUACGCCCUACGGGGGAAAGCAGGGGACCUUCGGGCCUUGCGCGAUUGGAUGAACCCAGGUGGUGAUUAGCUAGUUGGUGAGGUAAUGGCUCACCAAGGCGACGAUCCCUAGCUGGUCUGAGAGGAUGAUCAGCCACACUGGAACUGAGACACGGUCCAGACUCCUCCGGGAGGCAGCAGUGGGGAAUAUUGCACAAUGGGGGAAACCCUGAUGCAGCCAUGCCGCGUGUGUGAAGAAGGCCUUCGGGUUGUAAAGCACUUUCAGCGAGGAGGAAAGGUUGGUAGCUAAUAACUGCCAGCUGUGACGUUACUCGCAGAAGAAGCACCGACUAACUCCGUGCCAGCCGCCGCCGUAA